GACAGAGGUGCCGAGCGUUAGGCGGAAUCACUGGGCUUAAAGCGUGCGCAGGCGGUUUUGUAAGCCAGAUGUGAAAUCCCCGGGCUCAACCUGGGAAUGGCAUUUGGGACUGCAAGGCUGGAGUACGGCAGAGGAGACUGGAAUUCCUGGUGUAGCAGUGAAAUGCGUAGAUAUCAGGAGGAAUACCGAUGGCGAAGGCAGGUCUCUGGGCUGAUACUGACGCUCAUGCACGAAAGCGUGGGGAGCAAACAGG
rnacentral:rRNA from 1 species